rnacentral:lncRNA from 1 species
GUUUGUAUGCAUGAUUAGUUUAUGCUAUGAGAUAGUGUUAUAUUCAUGUUGUAGCACAGUAUAAUUGCUAGUACUAAAUUAUAGAAUGUGCAAUGAGACCAAUAUAGUAGUAUGAAAACUUUGGGCUAACCCAUUCUGGAACAAUCGACUCAGUUGGUGUCUAGGAAGGAAGCCACAGGUGGUUACUUAAUUAGGACCUCACCCUCUGAGU